rnacentral:misc_RNA from 1 species
GAUGAAGAACGCAGCGAAAUGCGAUAACUAAUGUGAAUUGCAGAAUUCAGUGAAUCAUCGAGUCUCUGAACGCACAUUGCGCCCCCUGGUAUUCCGGGGGGCAUGCCUGUCCGAGCGUCAUUGCUGCCCUCAAGCACGGCUUGUGUGUUGGGCUCCGUCCCCCCGGGGACGGGCCCGAAAGGCAGCGGCGGCACCGAGUCCGGUCCUCGAGCGUAUGGGGCUUUGUCACCCGCUCUGUAGGCCCGGCCGGCGCCAGCCGACAACCCAUCAUCCUUUUCAGGUUGACUUCGGAUCAGGUAGGGAUACCCGCUGAACUUAAGCAUAUCAAUAAGCGGAGGA